rnacentral:rRNA from 1 species
CAGCAGUGGGGAAUAUUGGACAAUGGGCGAAAGCCUGAUCCAGCCAUGCCGCGUGUGUGAAGAAGGUCUUCGGAUUGUAAAGCACUUUAAGUUGGGAGGAAGGGUUGUAGAUUAAUACUCUGCAAUUUUGACGUUACCGACAGAAUAAGCACCGGCUAACUCUGUGCCAGCAGCCGCGGUAAUACAGAGGGUGCAAGCGUUAAUCGGAAUUACUGGGCGUAAAGCGC